rnacentral:lncRNA from 1 species
UUAUGUAGUUGAGAGCAUUUGGACAAGAGACAGCGAGGCGGCGAAGGAGUUCCUCGUUCACUUCUCGAGUUCUCCUUAAGUUUAUGAGCUUUAUAGCAAUUCAAACCGUUUUGAAUCCAAACAUAUUGUAAAUAUGGAUCAGUCCUACUUAUUCUCAUUGCAUACUGGGAUUUCAACUAAAAAGGUAAAAAAAAAAGGAAAAUGAAACGUGUCAACUGCUUUCGAACAGACGCAUCGCCCAAAAGCCAAAUUUCCAUAUUUGAAGGAGACUUCGUGGUGGUCUUCAGAAGACGAUGGACAACAGCUUGCCAAAACGCUACAGCAUUGAUUUCAGCAAAAGUGAAGUAAACGUUGAGCUAUUUCGGAUAGAAAUUCGCGUCAAAACUUGUUUGAGUGUGGCUUACAAGCCCACAGAUUCUGUUUUGAAGGUUACAUGUUUGCAAAAGCUAUAGUAGUCACGCCAUGAAUGGCUAUCACUAGAAACUCUACUUCUAUUUAACAAUUCAAAAGCAUAGGCAAUUAUCAGUUGAAGCAUUUAUUUUCCCAGAUUAAUUUGUGCUNUUCUAUAGUNAGUUUGUUUAAAUUUUCAGCACGCAAAUAUUUAGCUCAAAUAUUGACACAUACCGAAUAAUUCUGCCGCCAUCUUUGCUAAAAAUCCGUGACGAAAAUGAAUGAANUUGGGAAUUGUGAUACAAAUUUUGAANCAAAUAAUGCACUUCUUUGNUGACCUGGAUGAUUUUUACUGGAAGAUUUAGUUGAAGAAGUCAAAGUUCUCGUGAAAUGCGUAGGAAAUGGCGUUGUUCGUGUCGAACGAUUGUUUUGAAAGUAAACCAAGUGAACUAGAAGAACUAUAUUCUCUCCAAAUAAAACCGUGAGAAAAAAUUACGAAAGAAGAGCUGUAAGAAAACUAUCUUACAAUCAAGGAAAAAUAGACUCCAUCACCUUUUUGUUGUGAUUUAGCAAAAGAUAAAUUAAACAACUCAAGAAAUUCAGUUUUAAUUGCUUUACUCCCUAUGAAAUUUCUGCGUUGAAGAGACCGACGAAUUUAAUCAAAAUACUAUAUUGAUAUGGUGUUCUGGUUGCCAUGCAGUCCAAUCAAGUUUUAUAUCAUUAAAUAAUAACUUUAUGCACAAAAAUAAAAAUUGAAAAUCAUG